CCUACGGGGGGCUGCAGUCGAGAGGCUUCGGCAAUGGGGGAAACCCUGACCGAGCGACGCCGCGUGCGGGAUGAAGGUCGUGAGAUUGUAAACCGCUGUCGGCGGGGAAUAAGGCCCGAAUGGCGAAUUCGGGAUUGACGGUACCCGCAGAGGAAGCCCCGGCUAACUCCGUGCCAGCAGCCGCGGUAAUACGGAGGGGGCAAACGUUGUUCGGAAUUACUGGGCGUAAAGGGUGCGUAGGCGGUUCGAUAAGUCUCGCGUGAAAUCUCUCGGCUUACCCGGGAAACUGCGCUGGAAACUGUCGAGCUCGAGCGUGGGAGAGGCAGAUGGAAUUCCUGGUGUAGCGGUAAAAUGCGUAGAUAUCAGGAAGAACACUCGUGGCGAAGGCGGUCUGCUGGCCCAUUUCUGACGCUGAGGCACGAAAGCCAGGGGAGCAAACGGGCUUAGAUACCCGAGUAGUC
rnacentral:rRNA from 1 species